AAUUCUGAUAUACGCGAUUUUAAAUUCUCGAAUUUUUCAGCGAAAUAAUUUCAAUUUUCGGCUCCACACGAUGGCAGAGGAAAGAUUCAAUUGAUAGAAUCAUCGAUGGAAGUAUCGCGGUUCGGCGAUUACCCGGAGACGAUAAACUUCGGCAGCUCGCGGGACUCCGCCCGUUAAAAACGUACGGCCGAAAAGCACGACGCACCAUAACUGGGAUCCCGGUACGUUUUCGUAAUACACGGGUGCUCCGACGUCGACGUAGGACUCGACGUCGACGACGUCGGCGUCAAGCAGUCUCAUGGAGGCGCAGGCGCCGCUCGAUAAUUCCCCAUGCUACCGGUAAUCGCCAAAAACAGCUAUACGUAUAUGCAUGAAAUAUCCGCGUACAUCAGACGAACACCCAUCCACCUAUACAUCUGUUGGCAAUAUUUAAACAUUCGUGAGAAAUGAAAUGAGACGAUGCGCGGAUCUGGUCAAGAGAAAACCAACCGCAGAAUCAACCCCUGCGUGUCAUUUCUCCCGGCCCAACGGAGACGCUGAUACCUCAGAAUAUCGGCAGUGAGGUGGGUCCGGGACGUCGCGACGCGAUGCGUCCUCCGCAACGUCGUUACCAACAACCGCUCUCUCGCAUUUUCUUUCUUAUUUGUUCCUUUUAUUUCGAUAGAUAACAUUUUUCGAAAUUUUUUUACAUGGCGUACGUUCACUGUGUACGCGAACUUGUUCAAAAGAAUCUGUUUCAGUUUUCGUCUUUAUAGAGAGCGAAUUACUCGAAAAAGUUUUUUUGACAAUCUUGUUAGACACGAAAAAUGAUUAAUCUGCAGUUUUAUAGUAUCGAAAUUUUUAUCUUCUUACUUCCUAUCUAUAUUAGAUUCCUUCGUGUGUGAGAGAAAGUCACAGAUUUCUUUGUUUCCGCAGAUACGUUUUCAGUCCAAUUACCCAAUCAGCUUUUUUAUUUUUUCGUUUAAGCGUAAUAAACCUAAUUAUUAUCGAGUCGUA